rnacentral:rRNA from 1 species
CUACGGGGUGCAGCAGUGGGGGAUAUUGGACAAUGGGCGCAAGCCUGAUCCAGCAAUGCCGCGUGAGUGAUGAAGGCCUUAGGGUUGUAAAGCUCUUUUACCCGGGAAGAUAAUGACUGUACCGGGAGAAUAAGCCCCGGCUAACUCCGUGCCAGCAGCCGCGGUAAUACGGAGGGGGCUAGCGUUGUUCGGAAUUACUGGGCGUAAAGCGUACGUAGGCGGCUUUGUAAGUUAGAGGUGAAAGCCCGGGGCUCAACCCCGGAAUUGCCUUUAAGACUGCAUCGCUUGAACGUCGGAGAGGUGAGUGGAAUUCCGAGUGUAGAGGUGAUAUUCGUAGAUAUUCGGAAGAACACCAGUGGCGAAGGCGGCUCACUGGACGACUGUUGACGCUGAGGUACGAAAGCGUGGGGAGCAAACAGGAUUAGAUACCCUUGUAGUC